UCGACGGCAGCACGGGAGCAAUCCUGGUGGCGAGUGGCGAACGGGUGAGUAAUGUAUCGGAACGUACCUUUCAGUGGGGGAUAACGUAGCGAAAGUUACGCUAAUACCGCAUAUUCUGUGAGCAGGAAAGCAGGGGAUCGCAAGACCUUGCGCUGAUUGAGCGGCCGAUAUCAGAUUAGCUAGUUGGUGAGGUAAAGGCUCACCAAGGCGACGAUCUGUAGCGGGUCUGAGAGGAUGAUCCGCCACACUGGAACUGAGACACGGUCCAGACUCCUACGGGAGGCAGCAGUGGGGAAUUUUGGACAAUGGGGGCAACCCUGAUCCAGCCAUGCCGCGUGAGUGAAGAAGGCCUUCGGGUUGUAAAGCUCUUUCAGCCGGGAAGAAAUCACAUGGGUUAAUACCCUGUGUGGAUGACGGUACCGGAAUAAGAAGCACCGGCUAACUACGUGCCAGCAGCCGCGGUAAUACGUAGGGUGCGAGCGUUAAUCGGAAUUACUGGGCGUAAAGCGUGCGCAGGCGGUUUGUUAAGAUAGGCGUGAAAUCCCCGGGCUCAACCUGGGAACUGCGUUUAUGACUGGCAGGCUAGAGUAUGGCAGAGGGGGGUGGAAUUCCACGUGUAGCAGUGAAAUGCGUAGAGAUGUGGAGGAACACCGAUGGCGAAGGCAGCCCCCUGGGCCAAUACUGACGCUCAUGCACGAAAGCGUGGGUAGCAAACAGGAUUAGAUACCCUGGUAGUCCACGCCCUAAACGAUGUCAACUAGGUGUUGGGUGGGUAAAACCAUUUAGUACCGGAGCUAACGCGUGAAG
rnacentral:rRNA from 1 species